UCUAGAAUCCCCCAGCUGAACUUUAAGGAGGCUGAACCCCGCCUCCACUGGGCUUCACUUUAGAACAUCCUUGCUUUCUGGAUCCACAAAGCCCAAGGAAAGACUUUUCCCUUUGAAGUACAGCUUCUCUCUCAGAGAAGGUUGGUUGUGUGGAGCCUUUCAUGUAUCAGGAAAACUUCUUUUACGCUCCAGAGUCGUCUGUCUCUGACCAAAUGAAAAUCACGGAGGAGACAGAAGAUUUUAAAUGAGAGGAAACGAAGGGUUUAAACUGAGCUGAACACGAAUUCUAAGUAAAGAAGAAGGCUGUGAGCUUGAAACUGUGUGCUCUUUCUUAACCAUGGGAGCCCUGCUGAGCACAUUGGGAAAUGGCCAUUCUUAGGCCUGGUUUCACAACAUCACCAGGUCUUCCUAUGUUUCCAGCACUGAGCGAGGCUCUGGAAUUGGGGAAGGAAUCACAAAAAUGCUCACAAUCUAGAGGCUAAGCUGGAGAAACAAACAAAAGUGCUGCAGACUGAUCAUUUCUGGAAGCAAGUUCUGCAUAAAGGAUAUGUCAUGAUCUUGGGGUCAUGGGAUGGAGCCCCACAUCGAGACCCUCAUCGGACUCCAUGCUGAGUGUGCAGCCUGCUUAAGAUUCUGUCUCUCUCUCCCUCUCUGAAUCCCUCUCUCCACUCGCACCCUUUCUCUCUCUCUCAAAUUAUAAAAAAAAAUUUUUUAAUUUAAAAGUUAGUUACAGUAUGGAGUCUGAAACUAUACCAAUGAAAUUUUCAUAUGCUGUUACAUUAAGCCCAUUAGGGCUAUCUUGCACUUUGAAUGGAUCCUUUACUCAUGGCAUGAUUUUGUAACCUCUUGCAUUGGUUAUUUGGAAAAGACAGGUUCAUUGAGUUAAACACAUCUUCCAAAUGUUGACAUAUUUCAUUAUAUAAUAUAUACAAAAUCACAUUAAUUAGUAUCACCAUCAACCUCAUUGCAGUCUUUAAGUAUUAGGAAGCUAUUAAGCUCAUGGUAGUACGUACAAGUUUUAAAGUUCUAAUUUUUGUUUGAAAGCUUGAGUUUUAUCUUUGGUAACAAACACUUUCAGUUAUUUUCCUUGAAGUGGCAGAUGGGCUUUAUUCAUUAUAAAA